GGAAAGUGUUUUUACUAACUACUAUGAAUUGAAUUCAAAAUGAAAAAAAGAAGGAAGAGGAGGAGUAGUCGUAGUAGUCUCCUAUUUGUCAACAAUCGGUCUCUGUCUCUCCCGUGUCACCAUCUGUCCACUCCCACUUUCAUUGGCUCAUGUCCACCAAAAAGAAAGCCAAAUGUCUCCAUCUCCCUUACCAUAUCUAUCUCUUCCGUUCUCCUCUUCUCUUCCACCGCCAAUUUCCUCCUCCUCCUCUUCUCACCAAACCUUCUCUUAU
rnacentral:misc_RNA from 1 species